UACGUAGGGCGCAAGCGUUGUCCGGAAUUAUUGGGCGUAAAGAGCUCGUAGGCGGCUUGUCACGUCGAUUGUGAAAGCCCGAGGCUUAACCUCGGGUCUGCAGUCGAUACGGGCUAGCUAGAGUGUGGUAGGGGAGAUCGGAAUUCCUGGUGUAGCGGUGAAAUGCGCAGAUAUCAGGAGGAACACCAAUUGCGAAGGCAGCUCGCUGGGACGUUACUGACGCUGAGGAGCGAAAGCGUGGGGAGCAAACAGG
rnacentral:rRNA from 1 species